GCGCUCGUAGCUCAGCCGGAUAGAGCACCGGUUUCCUAAACCGGGGGUCGCAGGUUCGAAUCCUGCCGGGCGCA
rnacentral:tRNA from 1 species